rnacentral:rRNA from 1 species
GAUGAACGCUGGCGGCGUGCUUAACACAUGCAAGUCGAACGGAAAGGCCCAAGCUUGCUUGGGUACUCGAGUGGCGAACGGGUGAGUAACACGUGGGUGAUCUGCCCUGCACUUCGGGAUAAGCCUGGGAAACUGGGUCUAAUACCGGAUAGGACGAUGGUUUGGAUGCCAUUGUGGAAAGUUUUUUCGGUGUGGGAUGAGCUCGCGGCCUAUCAGCCUGUUGGUGGGGUAAUGGCCUACCAAGGCGUCGGCGGGUAGCCGGCCGGAGAUGGUGCAGGGCCACCUUGGGCCUGGGGAACGGCCCACACUCCUGCGGGAGGCAGCAGGGGGGAGUAUUGCACAAUGGGCGCAAGCCUGAUGCAGCGACGCCGCGUGGGGGAUGACGGCCUUCGGGUUGUAGACUCCUUUCGCUAGGGACGAAGCGUUUUUGUGACGGUACCUGGAGAAGAAGCACCGGCUAACUACGUG